ensembl:lncRNA
GUGAACUUCAUCUCCGAGGUACAACACAGAUGCUUGUUAAAACACUAAAAAAAACAUUCAUAACAAAAACCUCUAUAAGAGGAUUUUACAUCUCUAUGGUGACAAUUCAAGUGCAGCUUGCUUCCUUGCCCUCUCCUCGGGAACGAGCCUAUUUGCUGUCAUUGUGCGUGCACGAGCUACCAUUGUUUGUUUGUGUAGCGACAUGUUGAAAAUGGCGGAGGGGAGAGACCUACGCGACAUAAAGAGUCAAAUAUGAGUAAAACGCUUGUUUGUCAACAUUAGCCAACAACCAUGUUCUCCCUGGCUUGUGUUAGACUGCAGCGCCAGACCACAUUAUCCAUAGCGUGUGGAAGAGAUUGAUUCAUGGAGCGGCAGAACAGAAAACCAAGGCACCCGAACUAGCUGGCACUGGCCGCCCAAUUUACGGGCAUUACUGUUAAAUAUUUACAUCCGAAUUAGCCCAUUUAUGCAUGGAAAUUGAGCGUCUAACUUUAACCAACGACAGAUUGCAUUGAAAUUGAAUAAAUACAGAAGAUAAACACCAGCGUAUACGGAGAUUGAGGCAGGUCCUGCUCGCUACCUUCUCCCCCAGUGGGAUGGUGCUGCAUGACAGGGAGGCCUUGGCG